rnacentral:rRNA from 1 species
AGCAGUAGCCGCGGUAAUACAGAGGGUGCGAGCGUUAAUCGGAUUUACUGGGCGUAAAGCGUGCGUAGGCGGCUUCUUAAGUCGGAUGUGAAAUCCCUGAGCUUAACUUAGGAAUUGCAUUCGAUACUGGGAAGCUAGAGUAUGGGAGAGGAUGGUAGAAUUCCAGGUGUAGCGGUGAAAUGCGUAGAGAUCUGGAGGAAUACCGAUGGCGAAGGCAGCCAUCUGGCCUAAUACUGACGCUGAGGUACGAAAGCAUGGGGAGCAAACAGGAUUAGAUACCGCGUAGUCCCUGUCUCUUAUACC